rnacentral:lncRNA from 1 species
CCCACUAAGGGCUGGUGCGCCACCCCCAAGGCCUAUGGGCUUCCCCAGGGUGGGUUGCCCCCCCGGUGAACACCCGGAACCCAUUCGUCAUUCCCGGUACAUUCCCGGUAACUCCGAAAACCUUCCGGUAAUCAAAUGAGGUCAUCCUAUAUAUCAAUCUUCGUUUCCGGACCAUUCCGGGAACCCUCGUGACGUCCGUGAUAUCAUCCGGGACUCCGAACAACAUUCGGUAACCAACCAUAUAACUCAAAUA